CCUACGGGAGGCAGCAGUGAGGAAUAUUGGUCAAUGGGCGCAAGCCUGAACCAGCCAAGUCGCGUGAGGGAUGACGGUCCUAUGGAUUGUAAACCUCUUUUGUCGGGGAGCAAGGCCCGCCACGUGUGGCGGGAAGGAGAGUACCCGAAGAAAAAGCAUCGGCUAACUCCGUGCCAGCAGCCGCGGUAAUACGGAGGAUGCGAGCGUUAUCCGGAUUUAUUGGGUUUAAGGGGUGCGUAGGCGGACGGUUAAGUCAGCGGUAAAAUGUCGGGGCUCAACACCGGCCUGCCGUUGAAACUGGUCUUCUUGAGUGAGCGAGAAGUAUGCAGAAUUCGUCGUGUAGCGGUGAAAUGCUUAGAUAUGACGAAGAACCCCGAUUGCGAAGGCAGCUUGCUGCAGCGGAACUGACGCUGAUGCUCGAAAGCGCGGGUAUCGAACAGGAUUAGAUACCCUUGUAGUC
rnacentral:rRNA from 1 species